AUGGCGGCGAGCGGUGUGGAGAAAGACGCGCGGGUGGCGGGGCCUUGCACUGCGGCGGCCCUCCGGCACCCUUGUGCUGCCCCCCACACCCUUGUGCUGCCCCCCCUUCCUCCAGGCCCUAGGACCUCAUGCCGGGGGAGGCAGCGUGGGCCCCAGGCCCCGGUACUCUGCGCCUCCCGCAGACGCCGGCUUCCCGGCCCGGUUUCCAGCGCCGGGAAUCCUUCCACUGUCUGUCUCUGCCCAGGGCAACCCCUGCGCAGUAACGCCGACCCCAGAGCGCACCCGUUAGGCGAUGAAGGCGCAAAAGAAGAGGAAGAAAACCCGGAACAGGGCCUCGGUGGCAAAUGGAGGCGAGAAGGCCUCAGAGAAGCCCGCCCCAGAGGAAGUUCCCGUACAAGCAGUUGGCCCAGGGAUUGGCUUGGUGCGUGGAGCGACUGCAGCUGGAUCUCAAGAGGCAGAAACUCACCCCGACACGAAACAGCCCUCAUGCUUGCUGUGCACUAUGACCCGCCAGGUAUUGUCAACAUCCUUCUUAAGCAAAAUGUUAAGAGCUCUACUCAAGACAUGUGUGGAUGA
rnacentral:lncRNA from 1 species